CUUGAAGAGUGGUCUAUUUUUAUUAAAUCUUGAUAGUAGUGAUACACAUUUUCAUAAUGUUGAAGCCAAAAGAUGCAGAGUUGAUAAUGAUAGUGCAACUUAUUAGUGGCACUACCGUUUGGGUCAUAUUGUGUCACGCCCAAUAUGCGACCCUAUCCAAAAGGAACUCGAAGGUCCCACCAAGGAUAGACCCACAUAUUGAAACGCUUUUGCAAGGUGGAUAUCAUUACAUCAACAUUACAUAAUAGAUGGGGAUACAUACAUAAGGCAUACAAUGCCACACGAAUACAACAAUACAAUACAUGAGAGCAUCAUCCAUCUACGGAUGAAUCACAAAUAGAAACUCCAAUGACAUCCACCCUGCUAGCCCAGGCUGCCGACCUGGAACCUAUCCCCUGAUCGAAGAAGCAGAAGAAGAACUCAACACAAGCAAGCAUCGCUCUCGCGUCAUGAUCAUCGCAUAACCUGUACCUGCAACUGUUGUUGUAGUAAUCUGUGAGCCACGAGGACUCAGCAAUCCCAUUACCAUGGGUAUCAAGACUAGCAAAGCUUAAAGGGAAAGGAAGGGGUAAAGUGGUGAGGCUGCAGCAGCGACUAAGCAUGAUAUGGUGGCUAACAUACGCAAAUAAGAGCGAGAAGAGAGCAAGCAGAACGGUCGUCAACUAGUAAUGAUCAAGAAGUGAUCCUGAACUCCUACUUACGUCAAACAUAACCCAGAAACCGUGUUCACUUCCCGGACUCCGCCGAGAAGAGACCAUCAUGGCUACACACGCGGUUGAUGCGUUUUAAUUCGGAUCUGGUGUCAAGUUAUCUACAACCGGACAUUAACAAAUUCCCAUCUGCCUAUAACCGCAGGCACGGCUUUCGAAAGAUUAUACCCUGCAGGGGUGUCCCAACUUAGCCCAUGACAAGCUCUCGCGAUCAACGAAGGAAUAGACCUUCUCCCAGGAAGACCCGAUCAGACUCGGAAUCCCAGUUUACAAGACAUUUUGACAAUGGUAAAACAAGACCAGCAAAGCCGCCCGAAUGUGCCGACAAAUCCUGAUAGGAGCUGCACAUAUCUCGUUCUCAGGGCACAACGGAUUGUCCAAACUUCCGGUAGGCCAGCCCAGAGUUGCCCCUGGUGGCCACCGGCGGCUGACAGGUUGGACCAACACUCAUGACGAGCACUGGCUCGGGGGGUAAAUAAAGAUGACCCUCGGGCUCCGGAAACCCAAGGGAAAAAAGGGCUAGGUGAGGCAAAUGGUAAAACCAAGGUUGGGCCUUGCUGGAGGAGUUUUAUUCAAAGCAAACUGUCAAGGGGGUCCCAUAAAUCACCCGACCGCGUAAGGAACGCAAAAUCCGGGAACAUAACACCGGUAUGACGGAAACUAGGGCGGCAAGAGUGGAACAAAACACCAAGCAAAAGGCCAAGUCUUCCACCCUUUACCAAGUAUAUAGAUGCAUUAAAAUAUAAGAGAUAUUGUGAUAUCCCAACCAAAAUCCUGUCCACCAUGGAGCAAUCUUCAACUUCACCUGCAACUAGCAACGCUAUAAGAGGGCUGAGCAAAGCGGUAACAUAGCCAAGCAAUGGUUUGCAUAGGAAAGGUGUCAAAGGUUAGAGGCUGACAUGGCAAUUUGGGAUGGCUUGAUAAACAGAUGAUAGGUAGUGCAGCAAAGCGAUAGAACGAAGCAACUAGCAUAGCAAUGAUAGUAGUGAGAUCCAGGGUAGCGGUCAUCUUGCCUGAGAUCCCGCAAGGAAGAAGAACAAGUCCAUGAAGAAGACGAACGGGAGCAGUCGAACGAAUCCUCACGAACGCAACAUUACCGGAAC
rnacentral:lncRNA from 1 species